GCCUGCCGGUCACCGCCGCCACCUCCCGCCCUUCAGGUUCCACGAGAGCCCGGCAGACUGAGGGGGAGACACACAGAGAGCGAGAGAGUGAGAAACAGAGAGAGAGAGAGGAAGGAGGGGAGGAGGAUCAGGGAGUAGGAGCUGGGGAGCCCUGCCGCGCACAGAAAGUUUCUAAUGCCUGGGUGAAGAUAGGAAAACUGUCAGAUAGGCUGAGCACUGUCAUACUGCUAUGAGCUCUCAGCACACUGUUCAGUCACUAUGUCUGCCUGCUGCCUCUGCUCUGCAGUUUUGGACUCUAACCUUCUGGAACUGUAAGCCAAAAUAAACUCUUUUGUAAGUUGCUUUGAUCCUGGUGUUUUAGUACAGCAACAGGAAAGUAACUGGUAGAGCCCCUAAGCCUUUCCAUAUCAUUGUAUCUUAUUUUUAUAGUUUUACUUUAUUUUAGUUUGGGGAGACUAACCUGUGUGCUAUUGGUUUAUUAAUCAAACCAAUACAAGUGCUGUUAUUCCUUUUAGAGGUCUUGUUUGGGUUUGCUCUCUACCAAUUAAAUGGUUAAAGGGCAGGAAAAGAAUCUCAGCAGGUAGCAGCAUGUAAUAAGCAUUCUUAAAGGUGAAGAAUUGGGUGCACACCCAUACCUGAAGGGACCAGCUCCCCAUUUCGGCAGCCAUAACAGCCGGACAUGUGCUUUUCUGACCUUGCCUUAGUCACUAGAGGUUAGGUGCCUGCCUCGUGACAGGGAACCAAUCAGAAGUUAGCUGGUGGCACUAUGCUUUACGAUUCUGGGUGUACUUUAUGGACAAGCACACAGCAAUGACACGCAGAGCAUAGCAACCACCCUGGGAGGGCCUAUGGGCCAUAACAACCAGUUGGCCAAUCAACACAGGGCAAGCCCUCCAAGCCUGGAGGCACACCAAUCCUGAGCCUGUGCGUACCCCUAGACACUCCCCUUACGCUGCCCUAUGAGAGCUCCAUGCAGCCCCUUCGAGCUGUUUUUGCUAGCCAUCUGCCAUGGCGGGUGGGUGAAAGACCCGAGAUAAUAUGGGGUUAGCUUGUUAAAAAAAAAACAAUAAAGCCUCAUGCAGUUUGCAGCAAGCUUUCGAAUCCGACUGGUGAUUGGGGUGACUGGGGUCCUGGGCUGGGACCCCGGAGGCCUGAGUUUUCCGGGGUCUAAUAUACCCACACUCAGAGCAAGGCCCACAGAGCAGAAGACUCCCUCCAAAGCAGAGAGGUUUUGUUUGGUGGGCUGGAACAUGUCCUCUUCCUCUAAGCUAGACUUGGUCAGUUUAGACAAAGAAGAGAUGAUAAUAGACCCACUGUUUGGGGUAAACACAUCUGGUUCCAGUCUUUGUCAGCCUAAAAGGACCCCUUCAGACCUUUAUAUCAGUUCUAGAGGGUGAAGAGUCUGGAAGUAUGCUGUCUUCACUUAACUGCCUUGGCCUUUUCCUAUCAGUCUGCUGUUAGGAAUCUAACUUCUAGUUCCUCACAUGGUCUGUGCAUCAGUAAGACACAGGUUUGCUUAUUAUUAGCAAUAUGAUUUUGUUCCCAGGUAGUUAUGUACUGUAACAGCAGUGAAAUUGUGAUGAUUGAAAAUGGUAUGCAAGCCAGAUAUUACAGUAUUAUUGUUUUUCCUUUUUUACUACAAGGAUUUCUUACUGAAAUUAAAAGAUAAGAUUAGAUAUAUGAAUAGGUUUGGGCCAUUUCCUAUAUAUCAGUAGUUUCAGAAGCUGAAAAAAUAUUUAUGCUGUGUAGUAAACUGAUGUUGCUGUAACAAUGCAGUAUAUUAUGUACCACAGUGGUCUUGCUGUGUUAGUCAUAAAUGCUGACUUAUACGCAUCAGGACUUACAUACUACUGUAUUUAGGAUAUGAUGGUUGUUCUCUCUCUUUUCUGUAGCAUUAGUGAACACAUUUCAAUAACAAAAAUAACACCAUUAUAAGAUUUGUGGAAAAUAUUCUUUGAUUUCUUUUACAACUAUUUUCUCUUUCAAAUUUAUUGAUGUCUGUAAUUUUCUCAUAUACCAAUUUAAAGUACCCAUUAA
ensembl:lncRNA